GGCUGGUCCGAAGGUAGUGACUUAUCUCACUUGAUUGUUCACAGUCAGUUACAGAUUGAACUCCUUGUUCUACUACUUGCCCCCCUCCUCACUACUGCACUUGACUAACCUUAA
rnacentral:Y_RNA from 1 species